rnacentral:rRNA from 1 species
GCCUGCCCGGUGACCAUGUGUUCAACGGCCGCGGUAUUCUGACCGCGCGAAGGUAGCGUAAUCACUUGUCUUCUAAAUAAAGACUAGUAUGAACGGCCACACGAAGACUUGACUGUCUCCCCUGUCCAAUCAGUGAAACUGAUCUCCUUGUGCAGAAGCGAGGAUACACCCAUAAGACGAGAAGACCCUAUGGAGCUUCAAACUCAAUAUUAAUUACCUUAAAACCCCCCUCUAAGGAGCCAACAAAUAAUUUUUUAAACUUAUAUUAGUUUUAGGUUGGGGCGACCAUGGAGAAAAAAAUAUCCUCCCUGAUGACUUUCUAACCAAGAGCCACAGCUCUAAGUAUUAAGACACUUAACUCCCAUUGACCCAUUUUAUGAUCAACGAACCAAGUUACCCUAGGGAUAACAGCGCAAUCCAUUUCAAGAGUCCCUAUCGACAAAUGGGUUUACGACCUCGAUGUUGGAUCAGGGCAUCCUAGUGGUGCAGCCGCUACUAACGGUUCGUUUGUUCAACGAUUAAAGCCCU